rnacentral:rRNA from 1 species
AUUGAACGCUGGCGGCAGGCCUAACACAUGCAAGUCGAACGAGUGGCGGACGGGUGAGUAAUGUCUGGGAAACUGCCUGAUGGAGGGGGAUAACUACUGGAAACGGUAGCUAAUACCGCAUACCAUCGGAUGUGCCCAGAUGGGAUUAGCUAGUAGGUGGGGUAAAGGGUCACCUAGGCGACGACCCCUAGCUGGUCUGAGAGGAUGACCGGCCACACUGGAACUGAGACACGAUCAAGACUCCUACGGGAGGAGGCCGUGGGGAGUAUUGCACAAUGGGCGCAAGCCUGAUGCAGCCAUGCCGCGUGGAUGAGGAAGGCCUUCGGGUUGUAAAGUACUUUCAGCGGGGAGGCGUUACCCACAGAGGAAGCACCGGCUAACUCCGUGCCAGCAGCCGCGGUAAUAC